ensembl:processed_transcript
GCUGCGUGGGAGGAGUGGAAAAUUCAGGCUAUGUGUUCUUGGCGUGACAGAUUGUCAAUAGCCGGGGUGUUCUGCAUGGAGAGCUGGGAUGAGCUGUUCUGUUUCAGGGCCCAGUCUGUGUGAUGUCACUCAACAGCCCUUGGGACAUCUCCUCAGCCACAGACUGGUUCUGUGAUUGGCCAGCUCCUUGAUUUGAGCCACCCCUGGGAAUCUGGUGUCGCCUUGGGAACCUCUGCAUCAGAAAUCAGGGAUCAUGCUAGAAGCACAAGAGGACCAAGGAGAGGACCAGGUCUGGGAGAAUCCAGAAAGGACACUGGGCAAUAGAACGUGACAGAGUAGAGGACACGACUGUCCAGUGGCUUGAGUCUGGGGUCACUGGUGGAAGAACAGAUGCCAGUGCCACAGCUAUUGGCCAGUGUGUUACAGUUAAAGAAGGAAGCCAGGAGCCACUGCAACAAGACCUUGUGCAGCGUGCCUGCAUUGAUGCGACAGUUCAUGUAUACAUUGGUGCCUCUUAUGAGCUCUGGGGUCUCUGAGAGGUCACCUUUGUUAUAAAGCUUUGGGAUGCAAUGAUUGCCAAUCUGGUUGAUAGGUUCAUUUGUGAGAGAUGCCAGGUCUUGUCAAACUCCAACAUGACUGCGGAGCUCAAAACCACCUACUCAGGGAGGGCCUCUACCUUCUCAGCCAUCUGGCCAAUGUUCAACAUACUGUACAAGGUAUACAUACAUGUUGCAGAUCUGGCGGUACUGCUCAUCUGUGCCCUCCUCAUCCACAUCAUCAUCUUCAUCCUCUUCUUUGUGAUAGAGUUGGGGCUAUCACUGGUGUAAGCACUGAAGGUGCCUGUGUUGCUCUGCUUUGACAUGCUGGGCCCACUCACACUUCCCCCCUCCACACACACACACACACACACACACACACACACACACACACUGCAGCCACAGCCACUGCUGCUGCAGCUGUGGCCCCUGAGGCUGGCUGGGCAUCCGGUUAGGGGCCAGGUCUGGCGUGGAGAACUUGGCCAUCUUGCAGCUACGCUUGAUGCCACACUGCCUGCAGCCUCCUUCUGCCUGCUCUCCCACAGCCUCUUGGUCAUGGGUGUGCAUUGCCCUGAGUCCAACUCCUGUUCUGUCUUGACCGUGACACAAGGGGCAGUGGCGAGCUACAGGCUGGCCAGCCCGAUGUCUGUGCUUAACUACAGGACUGCGAAGUGAGGAGAGGCACUGGGAGUCGCUACUUGGAGAACUAACUUUGAAAAGAACUCAAUGCCUUUCUCCAUGAUCUCCUGGAUCUGCAGGCUGUGUAGAUGAGCAGGAACUGGUCCCCCAUGUUCAUGCUCAGCCGGCCUGUAUAGCAAACUGUGAGGAUCUGCUGGAAUGACUGGCCGCACAACGGCCGACAGUUCUACCACAGCACUACGGCUGCUCUUGAAGAGAUCCCGGAAGAAGGAGCUGCUGAUGGCCAUCAUGGCACAGUGGGCUUUGGAGGCAUGGCCCUUAACCAGCACUGGCAUGUCACAGUAUAGUCCCUAUAGCCGCUGCUCAUUGGUGCACUUAAGUCUUCAUGCUGCUGCCAAGUCUGGAAUCUUCAUCUGCAGGGUCUACGCCAUGGCAGCACCUGGUGCCCCUGGUUUUAGUUUACCCUCACAUCUCUCCUCUCUCAUUAUCUUAAAACUUGUGUGAUUGUAGUGCCAACCUCAGGGGAUUAAAUAAAUGAAUGUGUGUG